GGGCCCAUAGCUCAGCCAGGUAGAGUGCCGGGCUCCAGAGACCCGGUGGUCCGGGGUUCAAGUCCCCGUGGGC
rnacentral:tRNA from 1 species